rnacentral:rRNA from 1 species
GGUUAAGCGACCAAGCGUACACGGUGGAUGCCCUGGCAGUCAGAGGCGAUGAAGGACGUGCUAAUCUGCGAAAAGCGCCGGUAAGGUGAUAUGAACCGUUAUAACCGGCGAUGUCCGAAUGGGGAAACCCAGUGUGACUCGUCACACUAUCAUUAACUGAAUCCAUAGGUUAAUGAGGCGAACCGGGGGAACUGAAACAUCUAAGUACCCCGAGGAAAAGAAAUCAACCGAGAUUCCCCCAGUAGCGGCGAGCGAACGGGGAGGAGCCCAGAGCCUGAAUCAGCAUGUGUGUUAGUGGAAGCGUCUGGAAAGGCGCGCGAUACAGGGUGAGAGCCCCGUACACAAAAGCGCAUAUGCUGUGAGCUCGAUGAGUAGGGCGGGACACGUGGUAUCCUGUCUGAAUAUGGGGGGACCAUCCUCCAAGGCUAAAUACUCCUGACUGACCGAUAGUGAACCAGUACCGUGAGGGAAAGGCGAAAAGAACCCCGGCGAGGGGAGUGAAACAGAACCUGAAACCGUGUACGUACAAGCAGUGGGAGCCUCUCUUUAUGGGGGGUGACUGCGUACCUUUUGUAUAAUGGGUCAGCGACUUAUAUUCUGUAGCAAGGUUAACCGCAUAGGGGAGCCGAAGGGAAACCGAGUCUUAAUUGGGCGUUAAGUUGCAGGGUAUAGACCCGAAACCCGGUGAUCUAGCCAUGGGCAGGUUGAAGGUUGGGUAACACUAACUGGAGGACCGAACCGACUAAUGUUGAAAAAUUAGCGGAUGACCUGUGGCUGGGGGUGAAAGGCCAAUCAAACCGGGAGAUAGCUGGUUCUCCCCGAAAGCUAUUUAGGUAGCGCCUCGUGAACUCAUCUCCGGGGGUAGAGCACUGUUUCGGCUAGGGGGCCAUCCCGGCUUACCAACCCGAUGCAAACUGCGAAUACCGGAGAAUGUUAUCACGGGAGACACACGGCGGGUGCUAACGUCCGUCGUGAAGAGGGAAACAACCCAGACCGCCAGCUAAGGUCCCAAAGUCAUGGUUAAGUGGGAAACGAUGUGGGAAGGCCCAGACAGCCAGGAUGUUGGCUUAGAAGCAGCCAUCAUUUAAAGAAAGCGUAAUAGCUCACUGGUCGAGUCGGCCUGCGCGGAAGAUGUAACGGGGCUAAACCAUGCAC